rnacentral:rRNA from 1 species
UACGUAGGGUGCAGGCGUGAAUCGGAAUUACUGGGCGUAAAGCGUGCGCAGGCGGUUUCUUAAGUCAGAUGUGAAAGCCCCGGGCUUAACCUGGGAACUGCGUUUGAAACUGGGAGACUUGAGUGUGGCAGAGGGGGGUGGAAUUCCACGUGUAGCAGUGAAAUGCGUAGAUAUGUGGAGGAACACCGAUGGCGAAGGCAGCCCCCUGGGUUAACACUGACGCUCAUGCACGAAAGCGUGGGGAGCAAACAGG